UGAGGGUGCCGUAGAAGCCCAUGGUGUCGGCGCGCUUCCCCUUGCGCGGCUGCGGUGCACCGCGGGCCCGGCGGCCGGGCAGGCGCUGGCAGUACAGCCCCUUCUCCGGCAGGUGCUUCCAGCCUAGAAACCAUACAACAGCUUGCCUGCCUCUACGAGAAACACAGCACUGCAUAAUUUAGGAAGGUAGACAGCUGGCUGUACUGUGUUGCACUCCAAAAAGAGCUAGAGAAAUGCGAAUAGUGAGCUGAGUUAGCUGUACACAGACUAAAUGUGAGAAAGAGAAAAGAGGAAGACUCAGCCAAAGCCUGCAUUGAUCUAAAGCAUGGGUCAACAGUUCCAAGACAUGAAAAAUCCAAUUCAUUUCCCAU